UUACAGCGUGAUUAAAUAAGAAAAUGUGUCUAACAGAUUUUUCAAAAAUUUUAUAUAACAUUUCAAGUUUCAACAUGUGGUCCAAUUAAUUGACGGUAAUAUAUUUAAUAAGUUUUCGUAAAUUUCACUCCUCUUAAUUUUUGUAAAUUCGUAGUUGUGUCCGAAGAUGACUUCAGAGUCGAAACACGUGUAACACAUAAAAAUAAAAAUUUAUACGGUUCAUCUUUUGAGGCCAAAAAACUGAAGUUUUUUGUUUUCCUUCUCUUCUAUAUCUAAUAUUUGGUGUUUAUGUUCAUCUGACGGAUAUUUAUUUCACUAUGAACCUUACGCUGGAGCCGCAAUGAAAACGGGAAAAUCAAAAUUAGGCUUGGGUGGUGAAGUAGUUAUGCAAUUACUCUCUGUAGUGAAAAAUCCUUAUGUUCAUCGGAUAGUUUUUGACAAUUUUUUUUCAUCGUUUGAUUUGUUUGUUGAAUUGAAAAAUAAAGUUUUUUUUUGCUACCGGUACUGUACGCGAUAACAGAACGAAAAAUUGUCUGUUAGAAAACAUAAAAUGUACUUCAAAGAAGGAAAGGGGUUUUUUUGAUACAGCUUAUGAUACCUGUUCAAAAAUUUCUUUAGUACGAUGGAAUGAUAACUCCGUUGUCACUGUAAUUACUAACCAUUUGAAUGUGGAGCCAAUACAAUCAAUUAAGAGGUACAACAGAAAGAAAAAAAA